rnacentral:lncRNA from 1 species
UGUUAAGCAGGAAAAGAAUGAAGAGUUCCAGUUCAAUAAUUUGUGAACACUUUUAAGGCCACUAGCAUGCUUUUUGACAAAUGUGAUUGUACUCUGAAUACAUAUAAAAAUAUUAAAGCGUGUAUCUGAGGGAACACUGAUCUCUUUUUAUCAUCUUCUCAUUGUACAGAUGCGGAAACAGAUGCUCAUAGAAGGGGAGUGAUUUGCCCAGGAUAAGCCAGGUGGUCAGCGGCAGAUCCAGGACCAGAAGCUAAUCUCCUGACUCCUAGUCCAGUGAUAUUUUUACUCCAUCACUUACUAUUCAUGAAACAUGUAAAAAGACAGGGAUGGAAAAGCAAACUGACGCCUGCAUUGAAUGACUUCUUGAAGCUUCUUGCAUGUUACCCUUCAUAUACCAGGUCCUUGAAAGAGGGAUGAUGGUGAUGAGGACGAUGACGAUGGUUUCUACCGAGUCAAAAAAUCAAGACUGGAUCUCACAGCUCAUCUCUACACCCAGCAUGAGAGAGUUACCCAGCUUUCAAGUCAUCUUUAUGUUCUAUAAGGAGACUAAGAUCAUAUUAGGCCAAACAGAUUUGCUACUAAACUAUGAUGACCAACAAAAGAAUGGAAAUUGUAGAAAGAAGAGAACAAUCCUUUGUGUCUAG